ensembl:lncRNA
AGGGCAGGGUACUGGGUGGAGGUCAGCUAGAACAGUGACUAAGGUUCAGGGCAGGGUACUGGGUGGAGGUCAGCUAGAACAGUGACUAAGGUUCAGGGCAGGGUACUGGGUGGAGGUCAGCGAGAACAGUGUCUGAGGUUCAGGGCAGGGUACUGGGUGGAGGUCAGCUAGAACAGUGACUAAGGUUCAGGGCAGGGUACUGGGUGGAGGUCAACUAGAACAGUGACUAAGGUUCAGGGCAGGGUACUGGGUGGAGGUCAGCUAGAACAGUGACUAAGGUUCAGGGCAGGGUACUGGGUGGAGGUCAGCUAGAACAGUGACCAAGGUUCAGGGCAGGGUACUGGGUGGAGGUCAGUUAGAACAGUGACUAAGGUUCAGGGCAGGGUAUUGGGUGGAGAUCAGCUAGAACAGUGACUAAGGUUCAGGGCAGGGUACUGGGUGGAGAUCAGCUAGAACAGUGACUAAGGUUCAGGGCAGGGUACUGGGUGGAGGUCAGCUAGAACAGUAACUAAGCUUCAGGGCAGGGUACUGGGUGGAGAUCAGCUAGAACAGUGACUAAGCUUCAGGGCAGGGUACUGGGUGAAGGUCAACUAGAACAAUGACUAAGGUUCAGGGCAGGGUACUGGGUGAAGAUCAGCUAUUGGGGACUAUUUAACAGUCUGAUG